rnacentral:rRNA from 1 species
AUGCAGCCAUGCCGCGUGUGUGAAGAAGGCCUUCGGGUUGUAAAGCACUUUCAGUCAGGAGGAAAGGUUAGUAGUUAAUACCUGCUAGCUGUGACGUUACUGACAGAAGAAGCACCGGCUAACUCCGUGCCAGCAGCCGCGGUAAUACGGAGGGUGCGAGCGUUAAUCGGAAUUACUGGGCGUAAAGCGUACGCAGGCGGUUUGUUAAGCGAGAUGUGAAAGCCCCGGGCUCAACCUGGGAACUGCAUUUCGAACUGGCAAACUAGAGUGUGAUAGAGGGUGGUAGAAUUUCAGGUGUAGCGGUGAAAUGCGUAGAGAUCUGAAGGAAUACCGAUGGCGAAGGCAGCCACCUGGGUCAACACUGACGCUCAUGUACGAAAGCGUGGGGAGCAAACAGGAUUAGAUACCCUGGUAGUCCACGCCGUAAACGAUGUCUACUAGAAGCUCGGAACCUCGGUUCUGUUUUUCAAAGCUAACGCAUUAAGUAGACCGCCUGGGGAGUACGGCCGCAAGGUUAAAACUCAAAUGAAUUGACGGGGG